AAACCAUUAAUUUCUUUAAAAAUUUGUUAUGGCUACUCCAAUUUUACUUCUAAUGUGUUACUGUAUAAUUUUAUUUGUAACUCUGAAAAUAACGGUAUCACACAAUGAUGUUACAGGGAAGAUUAGUAUGACUUUGUAUAUUAUACAUUUACAUGUGUGAGGAAAAAUAUUCAAUGCUAAAUGUACCAAAGCAGUAUCUUUCACUACUACAGAAUAAGAACUAGAAAUUAAGGACAAUCUGACCUUCUCAAGUUUGUCUUAAAAGGCACACAUUGAUGGAAUAAAUGGACUUUUCAUAAGGUGGACUUCAUCUCUUUUCUUUCUGAAUAUCUUGUUCCCAGUCUCUAGUGCCAGAAAAAAAGGAAACAGAACCUCCCCACCCCCAACAGACUUGACAUCUGAACUCUUGAAAUCUUGUAAAGUUUAAUUAACAUUCCCUCUUUACAGCUUUUCUCUCUUAUUUUAUAAUGGUUUACCCCAAUUUUUCUCACUUGUCUUCGAAGUCCAGAUGCUUAAAUAUUGGUUGCUUUGGGUUUUAAUGGUUAUUGCAGAACCAUGGAAUUGUAAAUUUGAUCUCAAAUUUUUAAGAUGUGACAGCUUGAUUAUUUUACAAGGCUAGAGAGCACUGGUUCAAGUCUGUAAUUUUUAAGAAUCAAAACCAUUUUCCCAUUGAUGUUUGAAAUGUGUGGUCUAUAGCUAUUUAUGAGUAAUUUACAUCUGUUGUCUCUUUGUGCCUCAAAUCACAGAGAAACUGGAGCUGAAUCUCCUGGGACUGCUAUUAAUAUCAUCGCCAUGCAGACAGCUUUCCCUUCAUCCAGCAAUUUAUACUGCAAUGUAACAUAACAGCAUUGGAGCAGGACAGGGCACCUAGAAAGUUUAGCAAUGACUUAUAAGAUAGCCCUUUAAAACAAGCAACUUAUGCAAAUUGCUUGUCCAACAGAAAAUGGCUACUUUAUUUUGUUGUACUAAUUUUUAAACUUAGGAACUUAUGCUUGCUAACUAAGCAGGUAUCCUACCACUUGAACCAUAUUUCCAACCCAUUUUUGUUUUCGUUAUUUUUAUCAGAUAGGUUCUCGUAUUUUUGCUCAGGAUUGUCCUCAAACUACAAUCCUCCCACCUAUGCCAAUCAUGUAGCUGUGAUUACAAGCAUGCACUACCAUUCUUGGACCAAAAUAUGACUUGUGGAUAAAAAACUAUGUGGCAGGAACUGAGAAUUCUUUAAACUAGGACCAGGGAAAUGUAACUUCUUUUACUGAAGAAGUGAAUGGAAGAGCAAUCUGGGUAUUGUGACAUAUGAGAUUCAAUGUGAUGAUUCCCACUGAGCUAUUAUAGGAAUAAAACGAGGUGCUUUAGGACAAACUAACUGCCUUUCAUUACAUUGGGAAAUGAAGCUAGAAAUACACUAGAAAUCUCUUCCAUGGCUUCUAGAGUAAAAACAUCAUUACCUUAACUUUGUGAAGGGUAGUGGUCCACAAAAUAAAAUUUGCUAGUGGGAUAAAAAGUUGGUGCAUUUUGGUUUUAUUUUUUAUUUAUUGUUUUUUUUUUUUGCGUUUAAUAUAUGUCCUGUGUGCAGACCUCACUAGAAACCACCAGUUUUUUGAUCUUCUCUUUUGUGCAUUUGUUACUUGGUCUUCAAUUGUAUUCUUUAAUUCAGAUGAAUUAAAGAAUUCAAUUCCUUAUCUACCAAAUGGGGAAAUAAUAAUAUCAUGGGAUUUUUAAAAAGGAUGUUUAUGCUUUAAAAUGUUAAGACUGUAGGUGCAGAGAAAGAACUAUAUAAAUAUUUGGCUAGAUGUUCCCUGGGGGAAUUGGCAUGGUGGCUCACUCCUGUGGUCAUGGCUAUUUUGGAGAUAGGAAUUAGAAGGACAGUACUCAAAGG